rnacentral:rRNA from 1 species
UACGUAGGGGGCGAGCGUUGUCCGGAUUUAUUGGGCGUAAAGAGCUCGUAGGCGGUUUGGCAAGUCGGGUGUGAAAACUCCGGCUCAACUCGGAGACGCCACUCGAUACUGCUAUGACUCGAGUCCGGUAGGGGAGUGCGGAAUUCCUGGUGUAGCGGUGAAAUGCGCAGAUAGUCAGGAGGAACACCGGUGGCGAAGGCGGCACUCUGGGCCGGUACUGACGCUGAGGAGCGAAAGCGUGGGGAGCGAACAGG